AUUGAACGCUGGCGGCAUGCCUUACACAUGCAAGUCGAACGGUAACGCGGGGCAACCUGGCGACGAGUGGCGAACGGGUGAGUAAUACAUCGGAACGUGCCCAGUAGUGGGGGAUAGCCCGGCGAAAGCCGGAUUAAUACCGCAUACGACCUACGGGUGAAAGCGGGGGAUCGCAAGACCUCGCGCUAUUGGAGCGGCCGAUGUCAGAUUAGGUAGUUGGUGGGGUAAAGGCCUACCAAGCCUACGAUCUGUAGCUGGUCUGAGAGGACGACCAGCCACACUGGGACUGAGACACGGCCCAGACUCCUACGGGAGGCAGCAGUGGGGAAUUUUGGACAAUGGGCGCAAGCCUGAUCCAGCCAUGCCGCGUGCGGGAAGAAGGCCUC
rnacentral:rRNA from 1 species